rnacentral:rRNA from 1 species
ACAUCCAGCGAACUUGGCAGAGAUGCCUUGGUGCCUUCGGGAACGCUGAGACAGGUGCUGCAUGGCUGUCGUCAGCUCGUGUUGUGAAAUGUUGGGUUAAGUCCCGNAACGAGCGCAACCCUUAUCCUUUGUUGCCAGCGAUUCGGUCGGGAACUCAAAGGAGACUGCCGGUGAUAAACCGGAGGAAGGUGGGGAUGACGUCAAGUCAUCAUGGCCCUUACGAGUAGGGCUACACACGUGCUACAAUGGCGCAUACAAAGAGAAGCGACCUCGCGAGAGCAAGCGGACCUCAUAAAGUGCGUCGUAGUCCGGAUCGGAGUCUGCAACUCGACUCCGUGAAGUCGGAAUCGCUAGUAAUCGUGGAUCAGAAUGCCACGGUGAAUACGUUCCCGGGCCUUGUACACACCGCCCGUCACACCAUGGGAGUGGGUUGCAAAAGAAGUAGGUAGCUUAACCUUCGGGAGGGCGCUUACCACCUUGUGAUUCAUGACUGGGGUGAAGUCGUAACAAGGUAGGCGUAGCGAG